GGAGGUUAAAAAAAAGGGAUGAUACAAGAUUUUUGGGUAGGGGUCAGAAAAGGGACUUCUGACGAUCAAUGCUGAAAGGUCGAUGUGUUGUACUGGUGAUUCGGGGUUUUAAUGAAGUGGGUGUGAUUACUCUUGACUGUUUUAUAAAAUCAAAGUUAUGUCUGUGAUUGAAGAAUUAAAAGGGUAUCUAUAGGAUUGAGUAUGCGGAAUGAAUGAAAAUUUUUGGGUUAAUCUAACAAGACAGUCAGUGGAUACAAGGUCGUGAGUAUAAAGCGAUAUCGGAGAUUAGGAGAUUGGGUUGUUCGGAAUUCUUUGUAACAUCUAGAGACCUACCAGCUGGGACAAAAGAGAUUUUGGCAAGCAGUCGAAGGACAUUU
rnacentral:lncRNA from 1 species